rnacentral:rRNA from 1 species
GAUGAACGCUGGCGGCGUGCCUAAUACAUGCAAGUCGAGCGAACAGACGAGAGUGCUUGCACUCUCUGACGUUAGCGGCGGACGGGUGAGUAACACGUGGGUAACCUACCUAUAAGACUGGGAUAACUUCGGGAAGCCGGAGCUAAUACCGGAUAAUAUUUAGCUUCGCAUGAAGCAAUAGUGAAAGACGGUUCUGCUGUCACUUAUAGAUGGACCCGCGGUGUAUUAGCUAGUUGGUGAGGUAACGGCUCACCAAGGCAACGAUACAUAGCCGACCUGAGAGGGUGAUCGGCCACACUGGGACUGAGACACGGACCAGACUCCUACGGGAGGCAGCAGUAGGGAAUCUUCCGCAAUGGACGAAAGUCUGACGGAGCAAUGCCGCGUGAGUGAAGAAGGUUUUCGGAUCGUAAAACUCUGUUGUAAGGGAAGAACAAGUACGUUAGUAACUGAACGUACCUUGACGGUACCUUACCAGAAAGCCACGGCUAACUACGUG